rnacentral:rRNA from 1 species
GACGAACGCUGGCGGCGUGCUUAACACAUGCAAGUCGAACGAAGAGCGAUGGAAGCUUGCUUCUGUCAAUCUUAGUGGCGAACGGGUGAGUAACGCGUAAUCAACCUGCCCUUCAGAGGGGGACAACAGUUGGAAACGACUGCUAAUACCGCAUACGAUCCAAUCUCGGCAUCGAGAGUGGAUGAAAGGUGGCCUCUAUUUAUAAGCUAUCACUGAAGGAGGGGAUUGCGUCUGAUUAGCUAGUUGGAGGGGUAACGGCCCACCAAGGCGAUGAUCAGUAGCCGGUCUGAGAGGAUGAACGGCCACAUUGGGACUGAGACACGGCCCAGACUCCUACGGGAGGCAGCAGUGGGGAAUCUUCCGCAAUGGACGAAAGUCUGACGGAGCAACGCCGCGUGAGUGAUGACGGCCUUCGGGUUGUAAAGCUCUGUUAAUCGGGACGAAUGGUUCUUGUGCAAAUAGUGCGAGGAUUUGACGGUACCGGAUAGAAAGCCCCGCA